UACGUAGGGUGCAGGCGUUAUCCGGAAUUAUUGGGCGUAAAGAGCUCGUAGGCGGUUUGUCGCGUCUGCUGUGAAAACUGGAGGCUCAACCUCCAGCCUGCAGUGGGUACGGGCAAACUAGAGUGCGGUAGGGGAGAUUGGAAUUCCUGGUGUAGCGGUGGAAUGCGCAGAUAUCAGGAGGAACACCGAUGGCGAAGGCAGAUCUCUGGGCCGUAACUGACGCUGAGGAGCGAAAGCAUGGGGAGCGAACAGG
rnacentral:rRNA from 1 species